CCUGCAGCCACUCAGCCAGACCUGGAAAAGGCUGUUACCACACGAUGACUGAAAGCUGAGCAUGGCGGCAUCCUUGGCUGUCCAUUUGUCCUUCCCUCCGUGCCUCUGUCUUACCCAUUCAAGGUCCCCAAGGGCCACACUUGCUUGCCCAUUAUUUGGCCAGAGAUCCAUGACGAAAUGACAAUCCGAGGAGGACUCUCAAUGACUUCUGGCCUCCAUACAUAUGUGCAUGCAUGUACAUGUGAGCUUUUACACGCGCCCACAUAAAAACAUUAAUACACACAUUUUUAAUGCCAAGGGCUCAAAACAGAUCCAGAGCAACCAUGUUAGCUUUCAUGGCUUUGAUGAAAACAAUGAUGACAGGGAUGAAGGGGAUGGAGUCCUGCUGCUGCGACCGCUGCUGCUGCUGCUGGUGCCAGGGCUGCUGAACAAAGAGUCAGGGUAUGUUUCUGAAAUUCAUUUUAGGAGUGCAGCAGUCAGAAUCUCUCCUUUGAGUGAUUACAAAAGCAGCGCACAUGGGCACUCAGAGUUGCUGGCAGCUAUCUCACCACCAAGAAAGAAGAAUUUGCCUCCCUGAGAAACCAACUCAAUGGAGGCAGCGCUACGAAACAGAGAGAAGACAGGCCAGAGUGCGCGAUGAGCCUCUAGUGCGAACCGUGCCGGAACCGUACAGUCAGCGUCUUGGUUGCAUGAGUUAAUAAAUGAUGUCCGUGCUGGUGCGA
rnacentral:lncRNA from 1 species